AUGGUUGAUCAACGAUUAAGAAUCGUUCUUGGGUUAAAUGAUCAAUACGAUUGAUAUUUAACCCAGUGCAAGUGUUGCAGGAGGAUCGAUUAGCAAUUCGAUUGCUAAUUGGCUUAAUUUGAUUAAGCCAAUGGGCUGAUAUUAAGUCUAAUUAAAUAUGAUUUAAUUAGAUAUGGUUUGGGCUUGAUUGGAUCAAGUCCAAUUGGAUUAUUGGAUAAGCCAAGUGC
rnacentral:lncRNA from 1 species